CUUGCCUGUCUUAAUAAAGGACAUGCCUAUUUGUUUGCCCAAUUUCCUCCUGGAAAAUUCUCCCUAUCUUUAACUCCAUGUGCUUGCCUAGUGAUUGCACACAUUUUUGGUGGUCCCAGGCCCCCUUUAAGGAAAGACACACAAAGAAGCCAUGACAUUCCUCUUCUCCCAACAAAGCAUUUUGGAGAAUAAGGCAAUGAGUAAACAGCUGGUACUCAGCAAACCUUCAAGACUGGCUUGCCUAAGCCUGGGCUCCUCCUCUGGCACCACCCCUUAUACCUGGAAGCAAAGCCCUGGCACUAGGACCCUGCAGACAGGGGUCCUGAGCCUGCGCUCCAAAGGGCUGCACCAUUUCACAACUUCAGCUGCAGCCUCAGCAGCCAACAAAGCUGCUGUCACUGGUACCAACCACCUCGAUUGACUCUGUUUUGAUUUGGCUGCUGACUGGCUAUAUCAAUGCAGAAUGCCCUCCUUUUCUUCCCCCUUUCAAAUCAAGAGGCAACAUCUGAGCAUAACUAGAAAAAAAUCUCUGCCAUGAAUCCCACUCAGAGGAGGUAACCAUAGCAACCUACAGAUGGAGGCAAUCGAGAAGAUGCUCCAGUAAUUGCAGCAAGAGCCCUUUCAGCGCGACACUACAGGACCAGAAGGGGAGUUUCCCAGUUCCCACGGAGGAAACCUUCCCUGAUGAAACAUGGAAGAAAGCUGAAGCCAAGUAGCCUCCAACAGUGGCCAAGUCAGGGUGCCGGCUGCUAGGUGAGCCCCGGCUGCCGGCUCCCUCCCAACGGGCAGCCCCCUAGCACCACUGCACGGGGCCAGAUCCCUCUCCCCUUUGGACAACCACUUUCCCUCCCUUCUUCAUACAGAGACCGCUCCUCUUCUUCCAUAGCAGCUGUCCCCGGCUGAAACAAAAGCUCCCACCCAAGCCUAGCUGAAAGGCUAGAGCAGGAUCUUUAAACUCUGUCCCCGGAACCCCGACAGCGCCUUAAAGACUCCUCCCUCAGGCACACCCUGCCCCUCACUCUCCAACAGCCCCAGCUCUGAAUCCUGACUACCCUCACUCCUCCCACCCACAUCACCAUCUCGAUCGUUUCCACCUCCCACAAGGUCCAGACGGGGAUCCUAAGCUCCUUCUAGUUCCGUACCCCCUAAGCCCCUUCCUGUCCUGGGUCAAAAUAUCGGGAUCACACACACACGUCUCCGGUCUGAUCCCUGACCCUUCGACCCCGGGCUUAAUAGAGCCCCACCAUCUACACCAAUCCAGAACCCUGGCUGCCCCUCCCCCAGAACACUGACCAUGAUCCCCCACUCAUUUCCCCUCCUCACACGCACACCCCACAUACGGCCUGAACCUUGACCACCCCCGGUCCAGACAUACACUCCCGGGGCCCCCAAGGAGAGGUCCCGGAUUAUAGGCGGCUGAAGAGGAGAAGAGGGCAAGUGAAGGGGUGGGCAGCCCCCGCCGCGCCCCACUACCUGUCAGGGGCCGGCCUGCAGACUCCACGGCAGCCCCCAACGGCGGCCACCGCCCAAGACCCUCCCAAACCGGCCCCGCCCCGUCCCAACACACUCAGGGAAAGCUGCCCCCCAUGCUGCCCGCCUCUCCGCCUCGCUCCACACCAGAGCCUCGAGGCCCGCGGCCCGGGGCUUCGGUCUGGAGUGAGAGUCGUGCACCGUUCUUCGCGAAGCCCAACUCUGAGGCAGCCGCGAACCUGGAACCUAGGGGGACCAGCAUGGAGCAGAAAUAAGGCAGUGUAACGGGCAGCCACGGAGGAGGCGGGGACCUCCCAAGGAAGGAGCAGGCGCACUGAGAACUUGAAGCCACCGGAGGACCCUAACGGAAGAAGAGAAGGAAGCGAGUGUGGAAUAGAGCGCCCCUAGUGAGCUGAAGAGAGAAGAGGAAGGGGAGAAGAAGUGAUGGAGGCGGGAUGGGGGCGGACCCAGAGCUUUUGUCUUUGUCUCCUGGGCCCGGGAAGCCCGAGAAGGCGGGGCCCGGGCUCCACCGAGGACCCUUCAGUCCAGUAGGUCAACCGUAGCGCUGCGAAUGACGCAAACAACUUGGUGGAGCCGGAGUCGGAGUCCUGUAGUAAAGUCGGCCCUAGUAGUGUCCCAGCGGAUCGCUCUCGGCAAGAUAUUUGCCCUGUCUUGCCUCAAUUUUCCCAACGUAAAAUAGGGAUAAUAAUGGUCCCGACUUAACAGGUGGCUUACUAGGAGCGUGACUUUACUAAGUCAUUUGUUCUCUGCCUCAGUUUCCCCAUCUUUAAAAUGGGGUUAAGAGCACCUCUCUCAGGAUUGAUAUAUAACCUCAGUUAUUGUGUAUGUAAGGGGGAGGGGAACUGUCCCCUUUAAGAUUAUCGCUGUCCCCUUUGAUCAAGAUCUCCCAGGCUCCAAGGAGUCAGCACGGAGCCCAAACCUUUCAGGAUGAGAGAAUCACCUCCCAUAGAAACUCUAAAUUCUCACGCAUUGGGGAAUCCUGGUCUAGGCUGUCCCAGCCCCCACCAGAUACCCAAUAAAACAGCUUCCCCCAACCAAGGUCUUUGUAGACGGCCCUAGAGGCAAAACUCCGUUUUCCAUAGAUUUGCCACUAUAGAAGUCAGUCUCUUGGUAAACUGAUUUCUGUCCAAUAAUAAACUUUUAUUUUGCAACUAAUAA